AACUUGUGAAUAUAUAACAUAAUACAAGAGCAUACGCACGUGAAAUAUGCUCAUGGGUAACACAUGUUGCAGCCUAUUAGUUCCAAUUUUUUUCUUUUAAUAUAAAAAUAGGUUCAGUUUCCUGCGAUUCUUAAAGCAACAGAUAUUGUUUUCUAACAUACACGAUGAAAUAUAUCUUAGCAGUGUCUUUUCUCUUUGUUGGUUUGGCGGUAGCAGACUUGUGCGUUGAUUCAGCCAUAAAAUACUGCAGCGUAGCGGUGAAAAAAUAUCCUUUCAGUAAUGCAGCUAAAUACUGCGAUCGUUUGAAGAAGCUUAAGCAAUGUUUGAAAUUCUUAAAUCCGCAAUGUUAUAAUUUCUUCAAGUAUAGAUAUAUGAUGAACUGCGUUGCUACGACAACGAAACCCAAAACAAAACGAAGAGUGGAACGUCAACGUGUGUUACGACAUCACUUUUAAUACUACGAAUACUUAUGAUAUUAAACUUGGUGUAAUGGGAUCAAAAGCCAAAAAUUCAACUGGUUGCAAACCAUGUAAUAUGAUUCCUGGGACAAAAUUGAAUAUAUCUAUCGAGAUAAAGAGUUAUACCACGAAAA